rnacentral:rRNA from 1 species
UACAGAGGUCCCGAGCGUUGUUCGGAUUCAUUGGACGUAAAGGGUGCGUAGGCGGUCUGCUAAGUUUGAUGUGAAAUCCCGGGGCUCAACCCUGGAAUGGCAUUGAAUACUGGCGGACUAGAGUACCGGAGAGGAAACUGGAAUUUACGGUGUAGCAGUGAAAUGCGUAGAGAUCGUAAGGAAGACCAGUGGCGAAGGCGAGUUUCUGGACGGUAACUGACGCUGAGGCACGAAGGCCAGGGGAGCAAACGGG